GAUCAUGGCUCAGGACGAACGCUGGCGGCGUGCCUAACACAUGCAAGUCGAGCGAGGAGAUCCUUCGGGAUGAUCCUAGCGGCGGACGGGUGAGUAACACGUGGGCAACCUGCCUCAUAGAGAGGAAUAGCCUUCCGAAAGGGAGAUUAAUACCUCAUAACAUUGCAGUUUCGCAUGGAACAGCAAUUAAAGGAGCAAUCCGCUAUGAGAUGGGCCCGCGGCGCAUUAGCUAGUUGGUGAGGUAACGGCUCACCAAGGCGACGAUGCGUAGCCGACCUGAGAGGGUGAUCGGCCACAUUGGGACUGAGACACGGCCCAGACUCCUACGGGAGGCAGCAGUGGGGAAUAUUGCACAAUGGGGGAAACCCUGAUGCAAGCAACGCCGCGUGAGUGAUGACGGCCUUCGGGUUGUAAAGCUCUGUCUUCAGGGACGAUAAUGACGGUACCUGAGGAGGAAGCCACGGCUAACUACGUGCCAGCAGCCGC
rnacentral:rRNA from 1 species